rnacentral:rRNA from 1 species
GACGAACGCUGGCGGCGUGCUUAACACAUGCAAGUCGAGCGGUAAGGCCCUUUCGGGGGUACGACGAGCGGCGAACGGGUGAGUAACACGUGGGUGACCUGCCCUCCAGCUCUGGGAGUAAGCCUGGGAAACGUGGGUCGUAAUACUGGAUAUGACUCCACGGUGCAUGUCGUGGGGUGGAAAGCCUUGUGCGGCUGAGGAUGGGCCC